GACGAUUUUUGCCGAAGGCAGGCGAGCGCUUCGGAGCGGACUCGUUUUUUUCCGCCAGUCUUGGCGGAAGCCUGAGACGCAAUAGAUGGAGACUCUCCUUUUCGCCUUGGCGUACUCUUUUUUUUUUUUUCCUCCCUGGAGCUGGUCUUGUGGGGCAGCCCUAAAAUGUAUCUCCAAGUGACCCUGCACUCAUCACUUGCUGCCUUGGACUUAGUUUCCUCAUUCGUAGAAUGGAGACACCACACUUUCUGAAGUGCUUAUGAGACUUGCAGGAGGAAGUUCUUGCUGCAUCCUGUGAACUGCUGGAACUUGCUGAUUGCACUUCAUAGACAAUUCCCCAAAGCCUGCAUUUGCAAAGCUGGCCUUUUCCAUUUGGAACACUCCUAGCAGCUACCAGUGCCACCCUCCCCACAGCCUCUCUGGCAAAGUAUGCUGGGGAACUUGGGGAUUUUUGCUAAGCUGAUUAGUUAGAUAUUGUGCAUCUCAGUGUAGUUUCAAUUACUAUUUUUCAUAUUAUGAGUGAGUUUGUGCAUUUUUUCAUAUGUUUAAGGGUUAUUCACACUGGUUUUUCUAUGAGCGGUCUAUAUCCUUUGCCCGCUUCUUUUUCUAAGUUUCUUGUUUUUUUAUCCAUUUUGGGGAGCUCUUUUAUAUUAGGAAAUCCAUCCUUUGUCUUGAAUAUAACUGAACAUAUUUUUCCUUGGUGUUUAUAUUGAAAUCACUAUAUCUUUUGACAAUUGAUACUUGCCUUUUCUUUGUCCUGUGAAUUUGUCAUAUGCUGAGAGAUGAAUUAAAGUCUCUUUCUACCGCUGGGUUGUGUCUGUUUCUCCUUGUGUCUCCUAGAAUCUCUUGGUGAAUACUGCUGGUGGGGUAUUCAGUGCAUUAAAAACCACCCUUCAUGUCACAUUUAAUGGUUUGGGGCCCGGAUUUUACUCAGUCUGAUCUUUAUAUGG
rnacentral:lncRNA from 10 species